rnacentral:rRNA from 1 species
UACGUAGGGUGCAAGCGUUAAUCGGAAUUACUGGGCGUAAAGCGUGCGCAGGCGGUUGUGCAAGACAGAUGUGAAAUCCCCGGGCUCAACCUGGGAACUGCGUUUGUGACUGUAUGACUAGAGUACGGUAGAGAGGGGUGGAAUUCCUGGUGUAGCAGUGAAAUGCGUAGAUAUCAGGAGGAACAUCGAUGGCGAAGGCAGCCCCUUGGACCUGUACUGACGCUCAUGCACGAAAGCGUGGGGAGCAAACAGG